CGGCUUGUGGCAGCGGUCACUUUCUGCUGGCUGCUGCCCGGCGACUGGCUAAUCACCUGGCUCAAUCGCGUGCGCAGGGCACGCCCAGCGGC
rnacentral:tRNA from 1 species